rnacentral:rRNA from 1 species
UCCUACGGGACGCAGCAGUGGGGAAUAUUGGGCAAUGGACGCAAGUCUGACCCAGCAACGCCGCGUGAAGGAAGAAGGCUUUCGGGUUGUAAACUUCUUUUAAGGGGGAAGAGCAGAAGACGGUACCCCUUGAAUAAGCCACGGCUAACUACGUGCCAGCAGCCGCGGUAAUACGUAGGUGGCAAGCGUUGUCCGGAUUUACUGGGUGUAAAGGGAGCGUAGGCGGGAUUGCAAGUUGGAUGUGAAAACUGCGGGCUCAACCCGGAGCGUGCAUUCAAAACUGCGAUUCUUGAGUGAAGUAGAGG